CCCUAAUCCAAAGUAAUUGUGUUCUUAUAAUAAGGACAAAUUAUCUGUGUUACAGUUCGUUUUGAAUUUGUCUAGCAGGUUUUCUGGUUUUUACCAGAACUUAAUCCUGAUACCCCUCAAAAAGGGGCACAUUUUGACACAGAGACAGACACGCAUACUGGGAAAAUGCUGUAUGAAGCUGAAGGCAGAGAUUGGGGUGAUGCUUCUGCAAAUGAAGAAACCCCAAAGAUUGCCACCAAACCACCAGAAGCUAAGAGGGAGGCAUGGAACAGAUUCUCCCUCACAGCCCUCAGAAGGAACCACCCUGCCGACACCUUGACUUCGGACUUUUAAACUCCAGAACAGUGAGACUGAGUGAGGUAGCUUGCCAAAGAACGGGAAGUCACCAGAGUGAACAUCGUGGAGCCAUUGACACCAUGUUCUGUUUCUUAACCAAGGAGGAGGCUAGCCACUCUCUGGGCACCUAACUUGCAACAGCUCCCCUGGAGAUAGACCCACAUAAAACCAUUUUAUUCUUGACAUCACUCCAGCAUUUCUGCAGAGCAUCAGUCUGGACAGAACUUGGUAUUCUUGCUUCUUUUCCACUGACUUUUUAAGAAGCCAGUUAUUGAAGAUCCAGGGUAAUAAAAGCAGCUUGAACUUCAUUACCCUCUCUCCAGCAUUAGAUACUGAAGGCCACGGCUGAGCCUACACUCAGAAAGGAGGGAAAAGAAAGAGUCGCAUGCAACUUUUAUACAAUAGGUCCACAUAGA
rnacentral:lncRNA from 10 species